CCUACGGGGGGCAGCAGUGGGGAAUAUUGCGCAAUGGGGGGAACCCUGACGCAGCGACGCCGCGUGAGCGAAGAAGGCCUUCGGGUCGUAAAGCUCUGUCAUUGGGGACGAAGGUAAGGUGACGGUACCCAAAGAGGAAGCCCCGGCUAACUACGUGCCAGCAGCCGCGGUAAUACGUAGGGGGCGAGCGUUGUCCGGAAUUACUGGGCGUAAAGGGUGCGUAGGCGGUCCAUUAAGUCAGGUGUGAAAA
rnacentral:rRNA from 1 species